rnacentral:rRNA from 1 species
AACGAACGCUGGCGGCGUGCCUAACACAUGCAAGUCGUGCGAGAAAGUUCCUUCGGGAGCGAGUAAAGCGGCGCACGGGUGAGUAACACGUAGGUAACCUGCCCCCCAGUCUGGAACAACUAGAGGAAACUCUAGCUAAUGCCGGAUGAGACCACGAUCCCUUCGGGGGUUGCGGCCAAAGAUGGCCUCUACUUGUAAGCUAUCGCUGAGGGAUGGGCCUGCGGGCCAUUAGCUUGUUGGUGAGGUAACGGCUCACCAAGGCUGUGACGGCUAGCUGGUCUGAGAGGAUGACCAGCCACACUGGGACUGAGACACGGCCCAGACUCCUACGGGGGGCGAGCAGUGGGGAAGUAAUUGGACAAUGGGGGCGAACCCUCGAUCCAGCAAUGCCGCGUGAGUGAUGAAGGCCUUAGGGUUGUAAA